UCUGCCUUUGAUGGAUCAUCUCCAGCUUCUGCUAUAGUCGCCGUUGACACAAAUCUGGACACAUCCACUCCUGACACUUAUCGGGCACCCCCUGCACCAUUGCCUUAUGAUGUUAGUUUGCCAGUUACAGAAAACCCAGAUCUGGAGAAGUCAGAUAUCAAAAGCAAAACAGAUGAUCAGCAGGAAUCUCUGAAGGUGGAUGAAUACGAAU